AUGUCUUGGGAGGAGAUCGACAGGUGGGCGGCCGACCCAGGGAGAGUGCCGGAGCCCGCCUGGGAUUCGAUGGAGCAGUGCACGGAAGGAUAUAGGAGAAUGGAGUUUGCGAAGCAAGCAAGGCGGCGUGGACGGAGGCCCCAUAGUCAGCCCCAAAAAUUUCUUGGGGGGGGGCUCAGGGAGAGUGUGGCAGAGUCAGGAGCCAGACCUGAGCCAACUCUCCCUGGUUAUCGUGAGGAGCCAAGGAGGAGACCAGAACCAGAGCCGGUGUUGGAGGUGAGUGAAACAGAGACUGUGAAGGAGUUAAUGGGGAAAUUGGAGGAGAGAGAAAUGAGGGAGUUGCUGUGUUGGUGCAUUUUGCAUAGAAUUCGCCUGACGGAACGUGUCAGGGAUUUGAUGGCACCUGGGUUAGCGCUCCAUACUCGUCCUGAGGUCCGUUUUAGUCGGCUGGUGAAGUUGGUUCCAGUCUCACGCAUCAGGCCUCCUGUGCCCAUCCCUAGCCUUGCACGUCCUGUGCCAGCACUAUGCAUCAGGCCUACAGUGCGCCUCGCCUGUUCAGCGCAGCCAGAGCCUCUCUCAUCUCAUGCGCUAUCGGAGUAUCCCGCCUGUUCAGCGCAGCUAGAGCCUCUUUUCUCUCCUGCGCUAUCGGAGUCUCCUGCCUGUUCAGCGCAGCCAGAGCUUUUCUCCUCUCCUGCGCUGCCGGAGUCUCCCGCCUGUUCAGCGCAGCCAGAGCCUCUCUUCUCUACUGCGCUAUCGGAGUCUCCCGACUGUUCAGCGCAGCCAGAGCCUUUCUACUCUCUUGCGCUGCCGGAGUCUCCCGCCUGUUCAGCGCAGCCGGAGCCUCUCUCCUCUCCUGCGCUGUCGGAGUCUCCCGCCUGUUCAGCGCAGCCAGAACUGCCAGUCUGCAUGAAGCAGCCCGAGCUGCCAGUCUGCAAUGAGCUGCCAGUCUGCAAGGAGCUGCCAGUCUGCAAGGAGCUGUCAGUCUGCAUGGAGCAGCCUGAGAUGUCAGUCUGCAUGGAGCAGCCUGAGCUGUCCGUCUGCAUGAAGCAGCCCGAGCUGUCAGUUUGCAAGGAGCAGCCAGAGCUGUCAGUCUACAUGAAGCAGCCAGAGCUGCCAGUCUGCAAGGAGCUGCCAGUCUGCAAGGAGCUGCCAGUCUGCAAGGAGCUGCCAGUCUGCAAGGAGCUGCCAGUCUGCAAGGAGCUGCCAGCCUGCAAGGAGCUGUCAGUCUGCAUGGAGCUGCCAGUCUCCAAGGAGCCGCCAGAGCUGCCUGUCUGCAGGAUGCUGCUAAAGCUGCCAGUCUGCAAGGAGCCGCCAGAGCUGCCAGUUUGCAAGGAGCCGCCAGAGCUGCCAGUUAGCAUGGAGCAGCCAGGGCCGCCAGUCAGCAUGGAGCAGCCAGUCAGCAUGGAGCAGCCAGAGCUGCCAGUCGGCAUGGAGCUGCCAGUCGGCAUGGAGCUGCCAGUCUGCAAGGAGCUGCCAGUCUGCAAGGAGCUGCCAGUCUGCAAGGAGCUGCCAGUCUGCAAGGAGCUGCCAGCCUGCAAGGAGCUGCCAGCCUGCAAGGAGCUGUCAGUCUGCAUGGAGCUGCCAGUCUCCAAGGAGCCGCCAGAGCUGCCUGUCUGCAGGAUGCCGCUAAAGCUGCCAGUCUGCAAGGAGCCGCCAGAGCUGCCAGUUUGCAAGGAGCCGCCAGAGUUGCCAGUCAGCAUGGAGCAGCCAGUCAGCAUGGAGCAGCCAGAGCUGCCAGUCGGCAUGGAGCUGCCAGUCGGCAUGGAGCUGCCAGUCAGUAUGGAGCAGCCAGAGCCGCCAGUCAGCAUGGAGCAGCCAGUCAGCAUGGAGCAGCCAGAGCUGCCAGUCGGCAUGGAGCUGCCAGUCAGCAUGGAGCAGCCAGAUCUGCCGGUCGACCAGACUCUCCCAGAUCUGCCGGUCGACCAGACUCUCCCAGAUCUGCCGGUCGACCAGACUCUCCCAGAUCUGCCGGUCGACCAGACUCUUCCAGAGCUGCCAGUCGACCAGACUCUUCCAGAUCUGCCAGUCGACCAGACUCUUCCAGAUCUGCCCGUCGUCCAGACUCUUCCAGAUCUGCCCGUCGUCCAGACUCUUCCAGAUCUGCCAGUCGUCCAGACUCUUCCAGAUCUGCCAAUCGUCCAGACUCUUCCAGAUCUGCCAGUCGACCAGACUCUUCCAGAUCUGCCAGUCGACCAGACUCUUCCAGAUCUGCCCGUCGUCCAGACUCUUCCAG
ensembl:lncRNA